GGUUAAGCGAAUAAGCGUACACGGUGGAUGCCUAGGCAAUCAGAGGCGAUGAAGGACGUGCUAAUCUGCGAAAAGCGUCGGUAAGGUGAUAUGAACCGUUAUACCCGACGAUAUCCGAAUGGGGAAACCCAGUAUCCAAUGGAUACUAUCAUUAACUGAAUCCAUAGGUUAAUGAGGCGAACCGGGAGAACUGAAACAUCUCAGUACCCCGAGGAAAAGAAAUCAACCGAGAUUCCCCUAGUAGCGGCGAGCGAACGGGGAGCAGCCCAGAGUCUUAAUCAAUAGCAGUGUCAGGAGAACGGUCUGGAAAGUCCGGCAGUAAAGGGUGAUAGCCCCGUAUCUGAAGAUGCUGUUAUUGUGAACUCGACGAGUAGGGCGGGACACGUGUUAUCCUGUCUGAAUAUGGGGGGACCAUCCUCCAAGGCUAAAUACUCCUGAUUGACCGAUAGUGAACCAGUACCGUGAGGGAAAGGCGAAAAGAACCCCGGCGAGGGGAGUGAAAAAGAACCUGAAACCGUGUACGUACAAGCAGUAGGAGCCUCUUUAUGGGGUGACUGCGUACCUUUUGUAUAAUGGGUCAGCGACUUAUAUUCUGUAGCAAGGUUAACCGUAUAGGGGAGCCGUAGGGAAACCGAGUCUUAACUGGGCGAAUGAGUUGCAGGGUAUAGACCCGAAACCCGGUGAUCUAUCCAUGGGCAGGUUGAAGGUUGGGUAACACUAACUGGAGGACCGAACCGACUAAUGUUGAAAAAUUAGCGGAUGACUUGUGGAUGGGGGUGAAAGGCCAAUCAAACCGGGAGAUAGCUGGUUCUCCCCGAAAGCUAUUUAGGUAGCGCCUCGUGAAUUCAUCUUCGGGGGUAGAGCACUGUUUCGACUAGGGGGUCAUCCCGACUUACCAACUCGAUGCAAACUGCGAAUACCGAAGAAUGUUAUCACGGGAGACACACGGCGGGUGCUAACGUCCGUCGUGAAGAGGGAAACAACCCAGACCGCCAGCUAAGGUCCCAAAGUCAUGGUUAAGUGGGAAACGAAGUGGGAAGGCUCAGACAGCCAGGAUGUUGGCUUAGAAGCAGCCAUCAUUUAAAGAAAGCGUAAUAGCUCACUGGUCGAGUCGGCCCGCGCGGAAGAUGUAACGGGGCUAAACCAUGCACCGAAGCUGCGGCAGCGACACAUAGUGUUGUUGGGUAGGGGAGCGUUCUGUAAGCCUGCGAAGGUGUACUGUGAGGUAUGCUGGAGGUAUCAGAAGUGCGAAUGCUGACAUAAGUAACGAUAAUGCGGGUGAAAAACCCGCACGCCGGAAGACCAAGGGUUCCUGUCCAACGUUAAUCGGGGCAGGGUGAGUCGACCCCUAAGGCGAGGCUGAAAAGCGUAGUCGAUGGGAAACGGGUUAAUAUUCCCGUACUGGUGGUAACUGCGAUGGGGGAACGGAGAAGGCUAGGUUGUCCGGGCGACGGUCGUCCCGGUUCAAGCAGGUAGGCAGAGUGAUUAGGCAAAUCCGGUCACUUAAUACUGAGAUGUGAUGACGAACCACCAAGGUGGUGAAGCAAUUGAUGCCCCGCUUCCAGGAAAAGCCUCUAAGCUUCAGGUUACCAACAAUCGUACCCCAAACCGACACAGGUGGUCAGGUAGAGAAUACUCAGGCGCUUGAGAGAACUCGGGUGAAGGAACUAGGCAAAAUGGUGCCGUAACUUCGGGAGAAGGCACGCUGGCGGUAAGUAAAGUCCCUCGCGGACAGAGCUGAAGCCAGUCGAAGAUACCAGCUGGCUGCAACUGUUUAUUAAAAACACAGCACUGUGCAAACACGAAAGUGGACGUAUACGGUGUGACGCCUGCCCGGUGCUGGAAGGUUAAUUGAUGGGGUUAGCGUAAGCGAAGCUCCUGAUCGAAGCCCCAGUAAACGGCGGCCGUAACUAUAACGGUCCUAAGGUAGCGAAAUUCCUUGUCGGGUAAGUUCCGACCUGCACGAAUGGCGUAAUGAUGGCCAGGCUGUCUCCACCCGAGACUCAGUGAAAUUGAACUCGCUGUGAAGAUGCAGUGUACCCGCGGCAAGACGGAAAGACCCCGUGAACCUUUACUAUAGCUUGACACUGAACAUUGAGCCUUGAUGUGUAGGAUAGGUGGGAGGCUUUGAAGUGUGGACGCCAGUCUGCAUGGAGCCAACCUUGAAAUACCACCCUUUAACGUUUGAUGUUCUAACCUAGGCCCAUAAACUGGGUCGGGGACCGUGUCUGGUGGGUAGUUUGACUGGGGCGGUCUCCUCCUAAAGAGUAACGGAGGAGCACGAAGGUUGGCUAAGCAUGGUCGGACAUCAUGCGGUUAGUGCAAAGGCAUAAGCCAGCUUGACUGCGAGAGUGACGGCUCGAGCAGGUACGAAAGUAGGUCUUAGUGAUCCGGUGGUUCUGAAUGGAAGGGCCAUCGCUCAACGGAUAAAAGGUACUCCGGGGAUAACAGGCUGAUACCGCCCAAGAGUUCAUAUCGACGGCGGUGUUUGGCACCUCGAUGUCGGCUCAUCACAUCCUGGGGCUGAAGUAGGUCCCAAGGGUAUGGCUGUUCGCCAUUUAAAGUGGUACGCGAGCUGGGUUUAGAACGUCGUGAGACAGUUCGGUCCCUAUCUGCCGUGGGCGUUGGAAGAUUGAGAGGGGUUGCUCCUAGUACGAGAGGACCGGAGUGAACGCACCACUGGUGUUCGGGUUGUCAUGCCAAUGGCAUUGCCCGGUAGCUAAGUGCGGAAGAGAUAACCGCUGAAAGCAUCUAAGCGGGAAACUUGCCUCGAGAUGAGUCUUCCCUGUCGCUUUAAGCGACCUAAAGGAACGUUUAAGACUAAGACGUUGAUAGGCUGGGUGUGUAAGCGUAGCGAUACGUUGAGCUAACCAGUACUAAUGAACCGUGAGGCUUAACCUG
rnacentral:rRNA from 1 species